rnacentral:rRNA from 1 species
CGAAAGGGAGAGUAACGAGUAGAUACGUACCCAGGGGUUCGGGAUAGCCAUGCGAAAGCGUGAGUAAUACCGAAUAAUGUCUCCGGACCAAAUAUUUAUAGCCCUUGGAGCGGUCUGCUUACUAUUAGCUUGUUGGUGGGGUAAAAGCCUACCAAGGCGAAGAUGGUUAGCGGGUGUGAGAGCAUGGCCCGUCUCACUGGGACUGAGACACUGCCCAGACAUCUACGGAUGGCUGCAGUCGAGAAUCUUCCGCAAUGGACGAAAGUCUGACGGAGCGACGCCGCGUGAUGGACGAAGGCCCUCGGGUUGUAAACAUCUGUCGUAGGGGAGGAAAUUUUGACCGAUCCUAGGAGGAAGCACAGGCUAAGUUCGUGCCAGCAGCCGCGGUAAUACGAACUGUGCAAACGUUAUUCGGAAUCACUGGGCUUAAAGGGUGCGUAGGCGGGUUAGUAGGUCAGAUGUGAAAGCCCACGGCUCAACCGUGGAAUUGCGUUUGAAACCACUAGUCUUGAGGGGAUCAGAGGAGAGCGGAACUGAUGGUGGAGCGGUGAAAUGCGUUGAUAUUAUCAGGAACACCGGUGGCGAAGGCGGCUCUCUGGGAUCUUUCUGACGCUGAGGCACGAAAGCUAGGGGAGCGAACGGGAUUAGAUACCCCGG